AGAGAAGAGCCUGGACUUCUGGUGAAGGAAAAGGUAAGCCCACAACUUCACUUUGUCCAAGUAAACGUGGAGAAAAUUAAUUUUGGAGAACAAGACUAUCAGAAAAACUUAAAAGGUAAGUUGAUGGAAUGGGAGGGGGCAACAGAAGACUUGUCUGUUCAUACACAUGCUAGGUUUUCAGUACAUUUAUAACCGGGGAUGGUCUUAACUUCUUUGGAAUGAGAAUGUUUUUUUGUUUUUUGUUUUUUUUAAUAGAGGUAUAUGUGCAUGAAUGAGAUGAAACUGCAUAGUAAACAUCGUUAAUUGUUAUUCUACUUGUCCCAAGACUAGUCAGCUACUUAGAAAGUGGGAGUCUUAGACGUCUAAGUAUUAGAGAUUGAGCAAAUAUGCAUUUAUGAAAAUAGUUCCUGUGUUGCAAAAAGCAAGUCUGAAGGAAAUACAGUGUAGAACUAAUGAAAUCUGUGAGCUGAGAGCAAAUGUAGCAAAGAAAGCUAAAAAAGACAAGCCAGCUUUUGAAGCAACCACAUGGAUUACAUCAGUUGCACCAGAGGAUGAAACAAAGCAGCUGAAGCUAGCGCAGUCAUGUCUUCAUUGCACUGCUUUCCCAAACAGUCUAAAUUAAGAAAUCAUACUUAGGAUGUUUAUUCUACAAAUACCUGCAUUCAUUUAAAUACACAGAUAGUUCAUUUCAAAUAUUUCUUGUUUAAUGCAUAUUUCACUAACUUGUCAGAAGUCAAAGAAAGAAUACCAGUUGACAGAGAGGAAAAAUGUCAGACAGGAAAGUCUGAAUUUUAUGAAGAUUGUACACCACUUGAGCAAACAAUUAAGUAACAGAAUUAAGUAUCUUGAUCACACUUUGUAUUGAACUACUUGUGCCGCUUUAUAGGGUUUGGACACUGAAAUAAACAAUAAUGAAUAAUAAUCAUCAUCGCCACAGGAGCAGGCAACACUACCUUAAUAGUACAUUUUAUUUUCAAUUAAAGGCUUAGGUGUUUUUUCUUAGGCCAUGUAAGCAGCAAUGUGUGCCCAGCUGAAGAGAUUUACUGCCUAAAUCACAGAGGAGUUCUUGUGUUUGUUUUUUCUUUCCAAAUAAGAUAAAGACAUUGCAAUUCCUGUGAUCAAGUACUAACUACUCAUUUAUUUAGAACCAUUUCCAAAGAACACUGUAUAGCUUCAAAGAAGAAAAUAAGCUCUUUUUGGAGACCAAGUUGCCACAUUGUGUUUUGAUAAGGACAGUAGCUAGACUCCCUACACAAGCAACAAAACAUGCAGGUAUUUUCUAAAGAAACUGCUAGUAAAAGGGUCUGGAUGGAGUUUGCUGGAAGGUGUAAAUACAAAAAAAGUAAAUAUGUUGUGUCAAACUCCUCCCAGCUUCUUUACCAGAAUGGUAAAACAAAGAUAAGCCCUAAAAAUUAUAGUGUUUUUAAACUGAGCUUUUACUCAAAUCCUUUUACUGAAAUAAUUCUUCUAAUGAAAGUGAGACAAAAAACCAGUUUAAAACCUUGCACUUAUUUCUCGUGCCAGGGAAAAUUUGGGAACUUUAUUUUUUUUUCCCCCUAAUAAAAGAGAAUUGGGAUAUAAAUUUCUCACUGAGAAUACAGACAGGAUAGACAAACAUCCUGGAUACACCAGACUCGUCCAGCAGCGCUGUUGCUCAGUAUGUGAAACAGUAAUAAGUGGCUGGCCAAAUAACAUCUCAUCACAAGGGCAAACUUCAGAUAGACUUGCUAUCUACAUCUUUGCUUACCUACCUACAUUAUUUCAUCAGAAAACUGCUUCCAGAAAAAAAAGGAAAACCAUAAACAGGUGAGGGAGAACACAACUGAGUAUUCUGAGCAAUUAGGGCAAAUACUUUAAGCCAAUGCUGCAGUGUUUGGGCACCAGCUAAAGCAAUCCUAAUCACAAAAGAGUAAGAUCAGAAAGCAAUGCAGAGUCAGGCCAUGCUAGAAGAAAAAACAACAUAUAGACACAACAGGAGAGGAAGAACAAAAAUGCAAGCCAGUCCUGACAGGACACAGUACCUUGGACAUUAAGACACCUACAGGUUUCUGUCCCACACAGUAGCUAGGGUCUAAGCUAAUAGACCAGCUGUGCUUUUUGCUAAGCACACCAGUAGCUAGAAAGGGGUUGAGGGAAAUCAAUUCAUUUUAAUAUGUAUCUCCUGCGCUGCAUGACUGCAUGUUUCUAUUUUGUUGCCUUUUGAAGUUUCAGUGAUUUUUAUGCUUUCACAUCCAUGAUCUUUCAAUGACAGACUGCCACUACUGUCUUUACUUCUGGUCUUUGUGCAUGCCGCUAGAUAAAAUCAUCCUAUUGUUGAAGGCACGGCCAGACUAGAGCUCCUACCUCAGAAUGUUCCUAAAUACUCCUAGGAAAGUAGCAAACUGGAGGGUUGAAUUGGAAACACUAAACACCUACCACAAACCACAAUCACCUUCUGACCCAAGUUAAAAGGAAAUGUGUUGAAUGCAUUUUAGAGAUGCCAAACAGUAGAUGAAACAGCAGAAAAAAGUCAACAAUAAAUUCAAUUUGUGAAACACCAGCAGCAAAGUGCAGUAAAAGACUGAGCACAAUAUUACCAUUCCACGUUCCUCAUCCAUAGUUCAAGUGAGAGUUCAAGAAGUUCAACAGUCAACCGAAAACAGUGCAGAGAAAGAAGCAUUCAAGUUUGUCAAAGGUACAACAAACAAGUGGUAAGUAGAAUCCCAGUAAGUCUGUAAUUAAGUUUCUAAUUGCUAAGUAUUUUGCAGAUCAGGGAAAGGAUGCUCCUGGAGAUUUCCAAGCCUGAGAUCACCUAUUUCAAAAGCUAACUUUCCUCACCACAGCCCGGUUCCUAGCACAUUUUAAGGAAUAGGCAGGGUAGUUGCAUCAGGUGUCUGUUCUGAUAUAAAAUACCUAUCCUUACUGAAAUUAUGUUUCUUUGGCUCUGGGCAACAUACAUAAGCAUUACAGAGGAUACCACUAAAACUGUUGUGAUAAGCUACUUUGUUUUCUUUCUCUGAUCUAGAUAGCCAGCAGAUCAGAAUGUGUAGUUAAUCAACUAGAUUUUACUCUUGUUCCUUUUGAUUUAGAGGACUACAGUUAAGUUAACCAACAUGUCAAAAAAAAAGUACGUUAAAAACUUACUCUAAUUGUUGAUAAAAAAGGGGCUAUUUUUCUUCUUUUUUUCUUCCUCUGCCUGUGCCUCCCUCACAUUCCCCUUCAAAAAAGCAAUCGUAUUCUAUUUCACCAAGUCUUCCUUCACAACUCAUUGCUUCUAACAAAGACCCUUUUUUCUCUGUUUGCAGUCAGCAAUUAUAUCUGCCUCUUACAGCAUGAGGCAUCAGGAAUAAGCAUUUAUAUUUCCAGACCUAAGCAAAUCGUUUGUUAUUAAAUCCUCAAACCCUCAAAAAUAAUACACACCAGAAGAUUAACUGGAAUAAUACUUUCUCCAAUCUGUAGACAGCUGAAAGUCUUUUUCUCCCUUUGCACAUGUGCACAGAUGCACCAAUUUUCUCAGAGUAAGUUUUCCACUCUCCCAGAUAGCCAACCUCACUGCUCUUUCUCAUCAAGUUUCUCUGUUUUAAAUCCUAUGCAAUAUCUUCUUGUAUACUGAAGGCGUAUCAGCACAUGCAACAUUUUGUUGCCAUUCACAUAUUUUACAAGCUUCUGACCAACCGUCUGGGGUAAGUUGAAUUGUUUUAUUCACUUCCAUCCGUACCCCUAAACACUCUUGCUAUCACAAACACUUGCACAAUGCUGUGCCGUCCAGCUUCACUCUUUUGCUAGACUGAUAGCCUUAGAACCAGUUAGUGGGGAGGAACUUACACUGGUCACUCGACGGUAGAUCUGCGCGGCAUUUUGGCACUCAGAAUAAGGAUACUCGGACGUUGCCAUCUCUAGCAUACACAUCCCAAAAGCAUAUACAUCAACGGAUUCAUCAUAUUUCUCCUCAUACAUCUCGGGGGCCAUGAACUCUGGGGUACCUUAAAUUAAAAGAACGAUUCAGACUCUAAAUGUCUCAAAGCGAGCAGAGGCUGCUGGCGUUACUCACCGCAGGAGGAAGUGGAUGGGCAGACCUGUGAGACAAAAGAAAGUGGAGGCAAAAAGAAGAGGGAGGAAACCCUUAGUCACUCUGUUUUAUCAAACCACUCUGCGAGUGUUCCAUUGCAAGGUCUUUACGGAAUAAGAAUGGCAUGAAAGGGCUGAUGUAGUUCUCAUUUUAUGCAUGUUAGUGCGAGGACCAAAACAGACUGAAUCAGGCAUCAAAUGGAGGGAAAGGGGAUAAGGAGAAGGGAAAACAGACUAGCCAUAGGCUACAAACCAAAUACUAAGGAAAGUUAAGACACUUACCUUUUCUCCCUGUAAGAAAGGAGGCACAUUAAACCUGGUUUCAAGAAUUACCUGACCGCCCUCUGCUGCAAAAGAAGUAGUACUGGUAAGAGCCCACAGCUAGUCUCUGUCCUAGCGCUCUCCACCUACUUUUUGAAGUAGAAUGGUUCAGGAAAGGCCUUGCAAUGAAAAACUCUUUUUGUUAAAAGAAAUAUAAAUCUUCAUGAUAGAAAAUGAAAAGUAAUUUUCUGCAAAGGCCACUCACCGGAGCCCUCUUCUUCAUAUACUUACCUUCUCACCUGCAGUAUAUUUAUAGGCCUACUGCAGAUACAGGCAUUAGUGAGGAACAUCCUACAGUCAAAAAUACUUAGAAAUACAGAGAGAUUGAGUUACAAGCAUAGAGCGUGAGAUUCAACAAGUCCCAUUUAAAUAGUUUGCAGAAAAUUUUUGCUCAGAGAAGCAUCACAGCAUCCCCUCUGUAAUCAAAGGGACUGCACUGUAUGAUCAAAGACAUAAGUUUGAUUCCAUAAAUUUAAGCACAGAAUUAUUUCCUGCAGAUACCAGAUUCAAGAUGGUUUUAUAGAUCAGUGAACAGUCACAUCUGUUUUCACCACACAAAAUGAUAAAAGAGAAUGCCACUGCAGCCAUUUAUCCAAAGGCAAACUAUUAACACACAAAGUGAUAAUUUUGUAAUAAUAAAUUUGAAGAAAAGGGGAGCACACUUAAGAAAAAACUUUUUUUUUUUGGACAAUGUGUAUUUUUUAUCCUUUACUAUUGUUUUGACCUGGUUAAGAAGCAGGAAAUAUUUCAGCAAUCACUUCCAAGAGAGUUUAUGGGUAUACAUUUUUGAUCCCAUUUGGGUAUCUAAUAUAGGACUGUUGAGCAAUAUUACGUUUUAGCAAGCUUAGACACUAGAAAUAAAAGCAAUUUCAUUCCUUGAAGCCUACUUGUCCAACUAUAAGAACAAAGCUGAUAAAACCAUUUCUUUAAAGAAUUUACAAGAAGAACUGUACUAGAUCUAUCAAUCCAAUAGCUUAUUUUCUGAAAAUGGUCAUUAGUGGAUACACAAGAAUAGAGCAAGUACAAGACAAUACUUCCCCAAUGCAUCCUCCUAACUUAAUGUAAACCUGCAAGUCCAGUGACUUUCUGAUUAAAACACUAUACUCCAGUCCAACUGCAAUAUAUUUUGACUUUCUUUAAUACAUCUUAGCUUUUGCUUAUUUGCCAAGUGUAAGACAUUUAAUAUUAGCACCUGGUGACAAUUGAAAAAAUUGGCUGUAUAAAUUAAUGCUUAACUAAACAUCAAGAUGCUUGAUAGUCACCAAAACCCAUUUGCAUGUUUCUUGAAGAGACGUAUAAUUCUCACCUUUCAUAUGUAGUUAAAAAUGGUUUUAUCAACAAUGUUGCACAAAACUGUUGGGCAAGGCAAUAAAUCUAUAUUCUGAAAUACUUUAAGUUACUAUACAGAUAUAAAACACAUAUGCAGAAUUUCAUCACGUCAUCUCAUCAGGAACUCCAACUGACCUCAAAAGCCAAGAAAUAAAAUCUACACAUCUUCAGGCUUAGAUCGUGUACCUUUGAAACCAUACUUAAAAGGAAAGCCCUUAAGGUUCAAACUCUCAAGUAUAUAGACCGGCUCAUCAGCCUUCUAAACAGUAGAGACUUACCUAUCACACUUUUGGCAAAAGAAGCUCGCUUCAGGGUUGCCAGUCCAAGGUCUCCAAUCUUGACUGAACCGGUGGGGCCAGUAAUGAAGAUGUUGUCACAUUUUAAGUCUCUAUGAAUAAUGGGAGGAGUGCGUGUGUGUAGAAAUUGUAAGCCUUUCAGUAUCUGACGACACCAGCUUCGUAGUACUUUGAUUUUCAUCACUUUAAAUCUCUUCAGAUACCUAGUGAAAAAUAACAGUACAUUAAACGGGCUCUAGUGUAAGCCACUUGUAUUUCAAAAUUAAGUUCUGCUACCAAGUAGCAGAUUAUGCUGUACCAUUUGCUGUUCUGAAGUGAGAAAGUAGUAGCUAAAGAGACUGAGAAAUUUUAAUUUCAUCUAUUUUAAAAAAUACCUGUGCAGUUCAAAAAUCAAAGAGUUGAAGAUGGAUCCCCCUCCCAGAAAGAAAAACUGCCCUACAGAAAAUUUCUACCUACUUCCUUCUAACCACAAGACUAUAGCGCUGAAAGUUAAAAAAUAAAUUAAUUAUUAAAUUGAAUUAUCAAAAUAUUUAAAAAAACAAUCUGCAUACCAAGUCAACCUUAAGAUAAUUAAGCACUCAGCUUGCUAAGUUUCAAGGCACUGCUUCCCCAACAAACAGUUAAAAACGUAUGCAUUACAAGCCUUUAUCUACUUAUUUAAGAGGAUUGCCUCCCCCUGCAUUUUAUCCUAUCAUUGCUUAAAUAGUUAAAAUCUUUUCCUUGGUGAAUUAUUGGGAAGAGAGCAGUAUAGACAAAGAUGCUAAUAAAGAACAGCCAAGCACAGAGCUGCUGCAGACCAUGCAAGAGUUACAAAGUCAUACUACCUUAGUUAUCAAUGUUAUUCCAACUACUUUGACCAAGUAUUCCAGAUUAAGUAUUCCAGAUUACACUUUGAACCUACAUCAAAUUUACUUGAUCUCACAGUUGAUUUGCUUGACAACACUUCCCUGGUUCUGUCCCAUAGAGGAUGUGACUAUCUGAAUCUGAUCAGUUAAUACUCACCAUGUUAAAACUACGGAGAGGAAAAGAUCUUUAAAAUGAUUAUGCUAACAGAUUGAUGUGGGAAGUACAUACACAACAUCAGCAUCCCUUUGCAGGCAAAACAUGACCCAGUCCUAACUGUUCUAAUAUUGCUGCUUUCUAAAUGUCAAGAGAAAAUUCACACACAAAAAAAUUAUUUUCCAGUCUUUGUGACACAAGAGUGUGAUCUUAUCCUACUAAACUUUGAUAGAUUAAAGAUGUCAUAAAGUGAAUGACCUAUGACCUAUUCAAGUGUUUUCCAGCUGUGUAUUCUCACACACCCUCUUCAGAUAGAAGUGUUAGUUUAAAGAAAGAGUUCCUUUCUUCCUUUUUAAAAAGAUAGUGCUGAAAUGCACUUAGAGAAGGAACUGAUGAAACGGUACACUGCAUACAGCAAUAAUUUUAUUCUUAUGUGGCCAAGGUUACUCAGUUCAAGUCAGAUGAGUUUUAUACUGCCACAAGACUGGUGGUAAAUUCUGUGACCAGGAUGGAGUUCAGCAGCUACAUACUUAAAAUCAAGUCAGGUUCAAUUAUUCAAUGGCAGUGUUCAGCCUUUGGCAUACCCAUAAGAUUACUCGCAUCAACACCAGCAUAAAAACUCCAUAAUUAAACUCCUGUUGCUUUAAAUUUCUCCAUUUCAGAGGAAGAUCUGGAAAACAAAUUGCUAGCAAUAAUUCUGCAAUGAAAACAAAACUGUAAAAGCAAGCAGGACCCAGUUCCAGAAGGAGUCUUGAAACAGAAUGUAAAGGCGGACAGGGAAAAAGCCAACCCAAGGAAGGAGACAAGCUGAAGGAAGUUCUGGAUCACAUCAGCUACCACUUGAAUUCUUGCUAUUGACACAAUCCUCAUUCAUCACUCUUGAGUCUGUUCCAAAGAUCACAUGGUAGGGGCACUUCAGUUCAGCAUCUGGAAUCCCUAAUUACAUUCUUGGUUUCAAAUAUGCUAGUCUACUGCCAGCUUCUCACUGUUAAAGGAUCUGGGUCCAACCAUUACCCAGCAUCCUGCAGCGUUGCUGUAAUUUUUCCAUAACACUGUCAUAAACUAAGUCACAUGCCACUUAAGGUAGAAAGUAUUUUAAAAUGGAAAAAUAUAUAAAUACUUAGAAAUACAUGGCAGCCCUAUUAGCCUAUUAGGUUUUAAUCUUCCAAGUAUUUUACAUACAGUAAGUCAGGAUUGAGAAGACCUCGAGAGGUCUCUAGGCUAAGCUUCCUUUCCACAUAGGGUCAGCCAGGAAGUCAGAUCAGGUUAAUUUGGGCUAUAUCCUGUCAGGUCUUGAGUAUCUCCAAGGAAGGAGACAGCACAGCCAUUUGGGGCAACUUGUUCCACUGCCUGACUGUCCCCAUUGUCAAAAAGUUUCUUAUUACACCCAGUCUGAAGAUCCCUAGUUUCAGUUUAUGCCUGUUACCGCUAAUCCUCCUACCCACCAAGCACCAGCAGAAAGAGCCUAUGACUUCUUCAUAGGCACUAGAAGACUGCUCUUAGGUCACUCCUAAAGGUUCCCCUUCUUUAGCUCAGUUUUUCCAGCUCAUAAUCACACAGCAGGUGCUUCAACCCUUAACAUCUGAUGACCUCCACUGAACUUGCUCCUAGCUGAUCAACAUCAUUCUUCUCUAUUUAACAAGGUAGUUGUCAAUUAAAGAUAGGUACUUGAUCGUAGCACAGAAUACAAGCAAAGAUGAGAAAACAAGGCUUUCCUGAUAGUUAUCUUCAACAGAGAAAAGUAGGAACUAGAGUUUGAUUUUCUGUCUCGCAAUUUUGUUUGUAUGGAUUUUUUUUUUUUUUAAACCAAGAAGACUCGCAAUCUAUCACAGCAUCUCAUCUCAAGGAGCUAGAAGAAAUCCUACUAAGUUAGCAGAAGCAGUUAUGAAGGUACAUGUCCUACCAGAUCAUUAAUACUUUCAUUUGAAGUGGAUCAGGAAUACAUAAUACAAUGGCCUUUGGAGACAAAACUAGAGGUAGACUAGACUUAAGUCAAAAAUUUAACAGUGUAAUUAAGACUUAAAAUAGAGAAUUCAAUUUUUCGCAGUACUUUAAGUCUGUUAAUACGUAAAUGUUAGAAAGCAAAUUCUUACAAUAAUUGAGUUGUAAAGCUUUUUCAUUGGUAUGUAGAAGUUCAGGGACUUUUCUUCGUGCAAAACUAAAAAUCUUCCCAGGCAGCAUUUUAAAAGGAUGAGUUCACAAUAUUGCAUACACAAAUACAAAAGGACAUCGUGAAAAGAUACUCCGGGAUAACAUUACACAUCUCACGUUUUGCUUGUUUGUUUUUAAUAUCAAGUGGCAACAAUGGCUAUGGCUCAGGAUGAGGAGGAUACCACUUGUUUUAAAAGCAGGUAGUAUAAACACACUGGAUAAAUAUGGAAGUAAUACUCAUUCAAACUCCAUAUGCUAAAAAUAAGUGAGCAGUAUGGGAACAGGAUAUAAAUGAAAUGCAUAUUGUUAUUAAGUUUGGUAUUUCAGAAAUUUCUCAUGCAGUUUACCUGUCAUGUCUCCAGUGAAGGGCACAAAAAUAAACUGAAUUACAAACAAAGUACACAACAGUGAAAAAAAAUAAAGUAUAUUAUUUAAACGAUAGCCAAUUAAAAAGAAUAUUAAGCUUUUCUUUCCUGGAUUAAAAAAAGACCUUCAUACUUCAGAGUACAAAACAAUCUCACAGCUAGUAAAUCUUAAGUAUUUCUUCCUAUCAAGACAUUAUCUUAUUGUCAUCUGCUUUUACUUUAUCUUGCUUAUGCUACUUCAUAACCAAGCAAUCCAAACAUUAAAUCUAUGGGGGAAAGAACAGAGUAAGAAAAAGAGGAAGAGUUAUAUCCAACCCUAUAUACGCUACUAUGAAAAUAAAUCCCUGUAAAUAGAUGCAUCUGUACAAAGCUGUAAAACCUCCGUACCGCUCUAAGUACAGGACAUGAGUAACUGAUCUAUUACUUUAUCUGAUAUACCUUAAACAAUCUCAGAAAAGCCCUUCAUGGACACACAGAUAAAGUUCAACUUCUUUAAUCCUCCAGCCCUAUUUCAAGAAAGAAACACAUCCCUAUAAUUACAGUUCAGACUCCCAAGAGCACAUUUUUCCUGUUUCAAGCAUGUCCAUUUGUGGCAAUCAACAAACACUGCAAAAAAACCCACAAGUAGUUCACAGCCUAUUUUAACCAAAGUUCCUACAGUCUAUUCACACAUUUAGGAUUUAAAUGCUACUCCAAGAUUUAAGUGGGCACCAAAUUAAGACACCACUCACGAAUUUUAAGUCAUGGCAGCUUUAUUUCCAGUAGCUUAACAGCGGCUGGAUGCUCCUGAAGAAACUCACAUCUCUUCAAGACUUUCAGUGUAAGGCUAAAGCAUGAUUUCAGUUCAACUCCCUCAGCUUUACGUACCACUAGAGGGCCCUCACAGCAAUUUGAAUCACUAGUUUCCAACUGGCUUAAAAAUAGACCUAGCUUCACUCAAUUACUUCACAGGUCAAAACUGUAAAUGCUUUCAAGCUUUUCUAAGUUACUACCUCAUGAAGUUUUAACUAAAAAGAUGCAUUUUGGGGACUUUUUUCCUUCUUUUUACUGAUUAUUGGUACUGUAGUAACACCCAAUGCUUCCCAAACAAGCUGAAUCGAUUAGUGCAUUGAACUCUACAAAAUACCUCAUGCCAAAUGGAAGGAAGCUCAGGAGGAAAACGAAGGGUACAGAGAAACAGCAUACUUACUGAGCUCACAAAAUCAGAGAGUUCUACAUGUGCUUACGAGGACAUCACAAUGAAGAAUCAGACAAGUUUGCUAACAUAAAGAAUGGUCCAUUUUACCCUGCAGUGCUAAUAAAACUCUCCCUAAAGAAUUCCCCUGCAGAAGUUUAGCCCCCAGUAAAAGGUCUCUGUCCUUACCUAUUUUGAAUUAUCACCUACUUCAAGUGCUCUAAUUUUGUGAUAAUGUUCAUCAAGUGCUUUGACAUGCUAGAAUUUACUUACGUUUUUAAUGUUCCAGAUGUCAUGAGUUCUGUCACAAGGACAAUACAUUUUUUUCCUUUGACUGUGGACUCCCAGGAAUCAUAGAACCUGACAAUAUUGGGAUGCUGAAGCCCUUUCAGCAUCCCAGCUUCCUCUUUAAAUCUUUGUCGCUCUGACUUGGAUAGCUUCCGAUCCUAAUGAAAAAGAAAAUAAAGCUUUGUUUUAUUUCUUAGAGAAACAGCAAAUUGAAAAACAGUUGUGUACAGUCAUUCAACAAGAAUCAGCAUCUUUUAAAUGCCAUUUUGUUUGCAGUUACUCAUGCAGUAACUUCUCUAUUUAGAAGAUACUCUAUCAGCUUUUUAUAAAUUAUAGUUUUCCUUACAGUAUGAUUGGGGAUUAUCUCCUAGUGCUAUUUCUUCCAUCCCUACUCCAAAGGGAUUGCUUGACUUGAGGCACAAAGGGGACAAUGUCCUAAAAUACUCAUGCAUUCAAGGACAGACAAAAAGGGAUCAUUUAAAGCACAUAUCAGAUUAUAGACACCAAUAAUCUUUAGUUAUUCCUUCAAGCAUAGAACCCACACCACUGGUAACAGACUGGAUUAAUUCUCCAUAUAGGUGGUAGAGCAGAAAACUUAACAUAUAGGAUGCAUGUAUAAUGGAAGACAAAUAAAUUUGGGUUGGAUUUUUUUUUUUUUAUUAAAAGCAUGACCUCACGAUUGAGCAAGCUCCCUGUAAUGUAGCAUCAAGGAAAACAAAGACAUAAUUCACACUAGAGAGACAGCAAGCUUUUGGCCAGAGACAAGUCAUGAAAAAGCUUUCCUGGACAAUACUGCUGUAUAUCUACCAACAGCCAACUAUCUAAUAUCUUCAAGAUUCUGACCAGCUGACCAGGAGUAAGUUGCAAAUAUGAAAAGUCUCCUUGCAUCUUUCAGCUGUCAGUUUACCAAUGCAUAGUAACACUAGUUUGGCUGAUCAACCGACAUAAAUCAGAUCCACAUGAAGAUAGCAUUAAAAACAUUUCAAGAUACACUCUAAGCCCAGAUUUUUACCGUGUUUCUACCAGCUAAUUAUGAAUAACCAGUGCCCCCUGUCAAAUCUGAGCAAUAAUUAAGUCACUCCAUUCCACAUUUACUUUCCAAGUAGAAGGCAGUAGAAUAAGCACGCAGGGUCUACUCAAACUGUUCACAGCUGUCCACUAGUCUGUAAUUCCUCUUCCUUUGUUAACAGUUAAUGUGUUUUCUCAAUACUACUCAUCCAUGUUAAUAUCUAAACCAUCCUCUAUUCACAGAAAUUAUCGACUUUUCCUAGGAGGCAUAGACUACUUCAUUCCCAGAUGAAGCUCCAAUUUUCAGAAGUGUAGGAGUCUUCCAGAUCAAGGAGGAGAAUAGGUCUGAAAUUACUUCAGAGAUCAGUGCUUUUAAGUGUCCAUCACUUACCAUAUAUUUAUGGUUGUUUAGGAAAACACCAAAUGCUUAAGUGCUACAAAUUAAUCAAUAGGUGUCAAAAGCAUUCAAUCCCACAACUAUUUCCCCCUGCAGAAAGCAGUGCUACCACUUCUCCUCACUCCUUCAGAAAGCAUACUUGCACAAACGUAAGUUUUGACAGAACGUGCUUGCAGAAACACUAAGAAAACAUGUCAAUAUUCACAUCUGCUGAGAUCUGGUGGUGUUUUUUGGUUGUUUUUGGUUUUUAUUGGGUUUCUUUAAUAUGGAAGUAGCGUUCCUAUUUGAGCUGUCUUACACAGCUAAUAGCUUUCUUUACAAUAUAGAACAGCGCAAGUUCUGUCCAAGACCAACUUGAUCCUGACUGCUACAAGCAGUAGUGAUGCAGAAAAGCAGUGAGCUGCUAUCAGCACAUCGAUCAAAAGAUCAUACACACAUGGUUUAAGGAUCUCAAUACUUUGAACAGAACACAUGAUCACAAUAAUCAUUCUCACAAAGAAAACGGAGCAGAUUAUUCCCAGCCUCUGCUCUUUAUGCAUAUAAUUCAUCUGUUUAGCUCUAUAUCCAAUUACUACUUAUGGUAAUUAUAAAACACAGGCUGUAACAAUUACUUAUUAUAUCGCUUAAAUUUAGCUAUGUAAUACGAACACCUACAUUUAUUUUUGUCCAAAAACCAGCCUGUAGAUAUACACUCGGAUUAAGUUUCCUGUAUUUUGUGAACUAACAAAUGUGACUAACCAAUUUUAGACUACACUUGACCUUAAGUUCUCAUCUAAACCCAAGUAUGCCCCAUCUCACUUUUAAGGGCCUCAUUGGGCUUUCCCUGUUGCUGUACUUCUGGUGCCAAAUAGAAGCUAACAAGUGCUAAUCGCUCUUAUCAAGGAGCAGACUCCUAACGGGCAUGCAUAUUUUGAGUCACUUCUCGUUCUGGUCACAUCAAUGGCAGCAUCAUGUUCCUGCAGACGUAUCUGUGACGUUUAAAACAGACACUCAACACUUCACUGCUGACAUUAACAGAAGGAAAAAAAAAGAUCCAGACAAUGACAAUAUAUUAACACAACACUUCUCUGGAAGCCACAGUGCCCUAAUGAUCUCAGACAAGUCUGGACACAAAUACAGGCCAAUGAACACAAAUUCCACCCAGAGAAAACAGCAAUAUUUCUGCAACCAAGGAAACAUCGCACCUUUUGGGAGCACACUGCAGCAGCCAAAGUUAAUGCUGAACGGAGCUGUAAGAAAAGGACAGAAGCCACUUGUUUCAUAAGACCAGCAAAGCAUACAGCCUUAACCUACCCUCAUUUCCUCGGUCCAUAUGCUCAUCUGUAACAGGUAUUUAUAUCUCUUUCCUUAAAGGAACACUAGUGCUAGGUAGCAGAAAAUGGUGAAUGUACUUGAAAAAGAAAACUAGCAGUCAACGCAUUAGACCUCACGUACAACCACACCAACAAAAUUCAUCUGUAUAUACAAUGACUGGUGGUUACACUUCUAUUAGCUACCUUCCAACACAACCUGCAAACAGCCUACAGGCUAAAUGCAAGGAAUGUAAGAGCCACCCUUGUUCCAGUUCUAUCCCCACCUCUAAAGAAACAGUACGAAGUAUCAUAGUAUCUCUCUCAAAAUAAGCUAUUACCUCUAAUUAAAUUAUAUCAAAGGUGAAUCAAACAAGAUCUGUACCUCCUGUGGCCUUUUUUCCCCACAGCUUGGGGUCUAAGUAGGUAUAGAUAUGGAAGACAUCAGCAUGUAUUUGCUGUUUCCAGCAAGCAGACCUCACAGCUUGACAUUCCAGUAUCCCAAAGCACAAGACUGGGUAAACAAAUGCAACGUUCUCUCUUUUAUUUUUAUUUUUCAAAUCAAACAAUGAGAAACAAAGCAAAAUACAAAGGCACGUAAGAUGCUUUUUCCAAAAUCUGAGAAAUUUUAUAAAGAAGAAAUCACUUCAAGGACUGUUAAUAAUAUAUGACUUGAUAUAUCUUAUCCUCCAAAGGCCAAUUUGUUUUGGAAUUUCAACUAAAAAUAAUAAUUAAAAAAAGAUUGGACGCCCUCCUUCCUCCCCCAGGCAUUCAUUUUGACCAUAUAAUGAAGCAACACCGGGGCAGACAAGACAAACUCUUAAGUCUUGCUGUUUGCAAAUCACAUUCUUGCAUCUCAGUUACAGCAAGUGCUGAGCUGAUAUAGCCUAAAUAUUUAAAAAUACACAAGCUGUCAAACUCCAAGAGAACUUGCUUCCUAAAAUGGACUUAACUACCUCAUAAUUUGGACGGCAUUGUUCUCCCUGAACCAAUAGCUUCCCUGAAGGACCGAAGUGUCACAUCCCAAUCACUGGGCUGCCCUUCCAACAAAUUGAAACAGAUGCACCGAGCCCACUUCGUUCAUUUCAUUCAUUCCUUUCCACCUACAUUAAAUUGUUUUGACAAGUCAGGACAAACAGCAAGGCUUCCCAGCACGUGACCUAUGGGUCUGCAGUGCCAGAGGCCUGAAUAGAGAGGCACUAAGUGAAACAAUUGUUCAGCUCAAUACCAUUCAAUAAUCUUUUCUUGACAGCUUUCAUUUAUCCACAUGUUUCCCUCUGACUUCUUUUGGUCAGGAAACAGCUAUCAGAGCUACUCACAUCAUUCAACGUAAGACAGGAAUCUCAGUCAGUUACAAUACGCCAGGUAUACGGGCUGAUCCUUUUGCUGAUGUAUGUAAUCUGGAAGAGCAUGAAUUACCCAGAACUGUUAGAGCCUGCCUUCUAUCCCUGUGCCUAGCUACCUUACGUAAAGGAAGAAGAAAUAAAGACAACUAAAACCAACCUCAUCACAGAUCAGCUUUUCUGCCAAGCCGCAGAAAAAAAAAGCACAUCAGCAAAAGUUAUCUAUACUCUCUCAGUGAUUUUUUCAGCCAAAGCUUAAUGUCUGUUCAGCAUCCUUCUGAAAGACGGAAAGAAAUACAUUUCCGACAUUUAAAUUAAUCUUAAAUUUCAACUGGGCUGCUCGUACACCAGUUAAAAGGUUCCACUGAGCAAUUUUUCCAUGUGUUCUCUUUCCCAACUUCCUGCGGUCCUCCCAGGCGUUGUCCCAAAGCACUGUGACAGGGACUGCACAGCACACCGGAUCCCGGAGCGGCCCCAGAACGACCCUUGCAGGGCGCAGUGCUCAUGAACUCAAAAAAAGGUCUCGCCCUCUGCCUUGCCUCGCUGUGCAUUUCUGCUACAUGGCCCCAAAGAGCACCGAGGGGGCCUGAGCUAAAUUACAGAACAAUUCAGAAGAAAAAUGUUUCAACGCAAUAAUACAACAGACCUCCAGAACUGCAUGUCAAAGACUGAGUUUUAGAUGUCGGUAAAAGCAACAGUGCCCUGCUAGGAAAACUACAGGCAAAUACUUCAUUAACAGAAUGAACUGACACACUCAAAUGAACAGCUGAGUGAGUGAUGUGCUAAACAACUUAAAGAGAAGCUCUCUCUUCCACAUAUUAGGAAGAUAUCAGGGAAGAAAGUAAUAGACUGAUUGCUUUACCUUUUACAGACAGGUUUUGCUCACUUUCUGCACAUCACACCACUAGAUCCAGAAAUUCUGCAUUGCUAUACUGCUCACAUAAGUACUGGGUUUGGAUUUUUGCUUUUUAUUUUUAAACUACGCUGGAGAUACACCAGCUAGCUUUUAUCUAAAAGAGGUGUGCUAGAAAAUACCAGACAAAUUAGUAGGAAUGAAUCUACUUCAAGUGAUGUGCUCUGACAACGUACUGCAGUGGCAGACUUCAAAGCGCUGGUGAAUUAUAGAUAAAGUGAAUCAUAACCGAGGUAAAUAAAAUAUCUAGCUCUGCUGAGGUUACACCAAGCAGCAUUUUAUCAAGCUUUCCAAGUAUCUGAAAAUCUGAGGGAAGUUACUGCAGCUCCCACCCUAUUAUUCAGAAAAAGUAGGAUACAGAACAGACAAGUGCUCUUCUGUGCGCAUUUCUGCAGGGUAUGAAAAAGGCUUUGGAAGCCUUUUAGGCAAGGUUAAUGAGGGGUCAUCAGAGGAGAAGCUAGCAAGACAGUGCUCUGAUAUUCAGUGCUGUUAAUGGAACCACAGCUUUGUGGGCUGCAGUGUUCUCAUUCUGAAAAAAUCUAGCAGUUAAGAGGAAAAAUGAGCACAGCGACCACUGAGCUAGAUUAACAAAAUAUCAACAAAGAAUUCACUGAGCUUAAACAUCAGCCAGUGUUACGCAGUUGAUACCUAGAAAUGGAAGUCUGAGUGCACAAGAACCGCCUAUUUUUGUGUCAACACAAACCACAUUAGAUUUCUAAAAUUAUAAGACAAGAUGGAAGGAGAGGGGGAAGAUACCAUUCAAAAUGCAUGUCUGUACACCAAAAGGCAUGAAAAUUGAGAUCAAGGAUCUCCACACAUCCUUCCACCUGCAUACCCUUCUACAAGCCACUGAACAUGAAAAGUAGAUUAAAUGCAGCUAAGCAGCUGCUGCUGCAAGAGGUUUUUUGUUGUUGUUAGGCAUGCACUUGCUCAAACAUUCCGAGCAUCUGAGCACCUGGUUUGAGAGUGUAAUUGUAUAAUAUAAUGUUUAUAGAGCUAUAUAAACCUUUAGCUAACCACAGAGUGAAGAAUCAGGUCUGCAAACCUAAGAGAAGACUUUUCAAGCAACUCCUGCUUCAUGCAUUCUCCUUGCUACAGCUCUCCUACCUUCCAGUAGUACAGCCUUUUGCAAGCAAGUCUCUACAACCUAAGACUGUAGUGGUUGAUUCCAUAAUACGUGUCUGGUAAUACUUGGAGGGCUCUCAGCACACUGGAGAAGACUGUUGGCUGCCCAAGUUGCCAGCUGCUGAAUAAGCAAUACAUUAGGACUGUGCCUACUGAGGCCAGUGCUACAUUAAGAUACCCCAAUUUAGUACACAAGAAGUCACCGUAUCAAGAGUUGCCAGAACACAGCUGUCAGUGCUUCCAAACUGCACUCCAUGCACAGGUGGAGCAGUAUAUUAAAACAGACACACACACACACUGUUCUUUAGAUAAGUCAAAUGCUAUUUCUGCCAAAAAUACACACACGCAUUAACCAAAAGACAAGCCAAGAAUAAAACAAACCAAAAAAGCUACUCUCCAAAGAAAGACAAAGCUAAGAAAAGAGUCAGGCUUCCUCACCAUAAAACCACAGCACCCAAAAUCCUCUACGCAUUCAGAAGGUUAGACAUCUCCCGAACAUCAAACUCCUUAAUUACCCCUCCCUCCAUCAGUCUGGGCCACUCAUCCCCAUAAACAGCUCUGCAAAGAUUUUAAGGAAGAAAGGAGUUGCUUAUAGAAAUUAGAAAUCAAGAUCGGUUUCUGUGUCUGAAAUCACAUGGCCUUCUGAAAGGGAAGAAUACCCUCAUCCUGACAUUAAGUUGCAGAGUCUCAAAACAGACUUAAAAUGGCAGAAAAGCCAGUAGCUAUUUCAGUACACAAGGAUUAAUUAAUAGAAAAGCAAAUCUGAGGACUUUUGUUGUCCUGCAUUCUGGAUGCUAUUAACCAGUAAUUUCAGUCCCCUUCUUCCUCAUCCUCAUCUUUGGGGAUGAAAGACAAAGUUCCCAGGACAGGUAGCAGAACGAAAGGCAGUGCCAAGUUAGCACUUACUGAAAGCACCACCUCACAUCCCUGGAUGGACAACCUCCACAGGUUCAAGGCUCAAUUUUAUAUAAGCUACAGACAGUUCCAGUGGAGCGUGCAGAUAAUCUUGAGAAAGAUUACACUGAAGUAUAAUGGUCAUAUUUGACACAAUUGAAAGGAGUAGGGUUAAAACAGUCAUUUAUCUACUACACCUUUUCAGCUUUGUGAUUAAGGGUAAAUAUCUUUCUGUAGAUUUCUUCCUACUCAGGUAGAAGUAUUCGAAAGUGCUCUGAGUUUUCGGCAAGCACACAACUCAGCACUUUAAUUGAAAGCUUGUGGGAUUAUUCACAUUCAGUUGUACAGUUUCCUGUAAAAGCAUCUACCUGUAUGUUCCCUUCUGCAUUCUCAUUUCUAGCAUUUUAGUGCAUAAACUUAGGAGCAACACAGCACACUCAUUACUGAUACAGGUGAGUGAUGCAGACAACACCUGCAAGCUUAGUGCUGCUCCUCAGAGGAGGGAAUUAAAGCAACAAAGUAUACUCAUCUUGACAGAGAUGAUACCUGGGAAGACUGGUGGGGAGGGAGGGGGGGAAGAAGAGGAGGGAAAUACAACUCUUAAUAUUCAAGAAGGGAGCAGACAAAUCUUUGAAGUUUUGACAAACUUUUCCUGAGAGCUGAAGCAUUCUGGUGCUUAGAUGGAGAAAAUAGGUCAGUUAAAAGAAAAAAGCUCUAGGCUUUCCUUAUUUGUAUUUAACAAAUGUGAUCGCUUACUGAUUCAGGGCUUGGGUUGACAGGGUUCCUCCAUUCAUUUUUCAAAGAAGCACCAAUCCCGUUCAAGAAAAAUAAUAACACAAACAUUUAAGUUGGCAAAAAUUAAACCACAUAGGUCAGAAGCAGUGUGCAACUCGGAGGUAACUCUGUGCAUCUUUACACAGCAGCCCUUUCCUGCCCACACUGAACAUGACAGUGAAGCAGACAGGGGACUGGAGUAGGGAGUUACACUCCGUGUUGUCUAAGCUCCAUGAUGAUGAACCCGGUAAACAUCAAAAGUGAGAUUUAAAAUAGAUUGGUAAUUUACUCAAAGCAUCGGUAGCUUUUUACUCUGUACUGGAAGACAGAAUAAAGUAUGCUUUUCCUUUUG